UACGUAGGGGGCAAGCGUUGUCCGGAAUUACUGGGCGUAAAGCGCGUGUAGGCGGGACGACAAGUCCGGCGUGAAGGCUUGGGCUCAACCCGAGAUGGCCGUUGGAACUGUCGUUCUUGAGGGUCGAAGAGGAGAGUGGAAUUCCUGGUGUAGCGGUGAAAUGCGUAGAGAUCAGGAGGAACACCCUGGCGAAGGCGCUCU
rnacentral:rRNA from 1 species